CCUACGGGAGGCAGCAGUGGGGAAUAUUGGGCAAUGGGCGCAAGCCUGACCCAGCAACGCCGCGUGAAGGAAGAAGGCUUUCGGGUUGUAAACUUCUUUUAAGAGGGAAGAGCAGAAGACGGUACCUCUUGAAUAAGCCACGGCUAACUACGUGCCAGCAGCCGCGGUAAUAGGGAGGUGGCAAGCGUUGUCCGGAUUUACUGGGUGUAAAGGGCGUGUAGGCGGGCUGACAAGUCAGAUGUGAAAUUUCGGGGCUCAACCCCGGAACUGCAGUUGAAACUGUUGGUCUUGAGUAUCGGAGAGGCAGGCGGAAUUCGUGGUGUAGCGGUGAAAUGCGUAGAUAUUAGGAGGAACACCAGUGGCGAAGGCGGCCUGCUGGACGACAACUGACGGUGAGGCGCGAAAGCGUGGGGAGCAAACAGGAUUAGAUACCCGUGUAGUC
rnacentral:rRNA from 1 species